AACGCGAAGAACCUUACCUGGUCUUGACAUGUCAGGAACCCUUCAGAGAUGAGGGGGUGCCUUCGGGAACCUGAACACAGGUGCUGCAUGGCUGUCGUCAGCUCGUGUCGUGAGAUGUUGGGUUAAGUCCCGCAACGAGCGCAACCCUCGUCCAAUGUUGCCAGCGGGUAAUGCCGGGGACUCAUUGGAGACUGCCGGGGUCAACUCGGAGGAAGGUGGGGAUGACGUCAAGUCAUCAUGCCCCUUAUGUCUUGGGCUGCAAACAUGCUACAAUGGCCGGUACAAAGCGCUGCGACACCGUGAGGUGAAGCGAAUCGCAUAAAGCCGGUCUCAGUUCGGAUCGGGGGUCUGCAACUCGGCCCCGUGAAGCCGGAGUCGCUAGUAAUCGCGGAUCAGCAACGCCGCGGUGAAUACGUUCCCGGGCCUUGUACACACCGCGCAUA
rnacentral:rRNA from 1 species